CGGUUUCGGAAAACUUGCUGGUCGCGGAUUAGUACGUUCUGAAAAAAACCCUUACGUGUAUAUAGCGGCCUAAAAUCAAAGGCCUUUCCUUCCUUUCUUAUUGUUAGGCUGACUUAGUGCUUGUGCUAAGGCGCAGGUUGAUCUCUCUGGCGGAGGCUGCAUUCAUGUAUUCAACUUGACACGUGGGAAGGGCUUACUCUCCUAGUGGCUCGGCUUGGUCUCGCUCCCUUCCUGCACUAUUCCUCCCCACUAAAAAGAGCGAUUGAUACUCUCGAUAACCUUUAUUUCUGAACGUCCGUCUUCGCGGGGCGAUUUGAAAUGGCCGUACUGUACUGGUUGGACGAUGGCACAGUACGCAGGACCCUCGUAUGAAACCCCACCGAGCUUCCUUGCACUAUGUGGAACGGACUAUUCUCGGAUUGGACACGCCUAUAGCUAAAGGAACGUACAGCGAGCCGUAGGUGAAGGGAGGGAGGCCAAUGUCCCGUCAGAUACCACGGCCCACGGGCAAGCCAGCGACCUUCACCUCCCGCAAGUCCCUUCGGUCUCCUUUAGCUCUGGUGGGCGUGGUUCUUUAGUUCUUCUGGCCUUCCUUCAUGUCGUAGCCUUAGCUUAUCGACGGGUCUUGCAAUACAUACAGCAUUUUAUUUGACUCAUGCCUUGGAUCGGAAGAAGAACGUUCUUUGUUUUAGUUUUAAGUCGUUACCUUGCGGGAGCCACCUGGUUAUAAUAAGACCCUUCUCUCCUUUUUAAUUUCCAUCCAUAUAUAUGGUAUGUUGAAUCACUUGUGAAGUCGACUUUACUUGACCGUGUCUGCUUCAACUUCACCCUAGACUCGUGUCGUGUAGCAAGACUAAAAAGUGGUCGAGUGAAUUUAUGAACGAACGAG